AUGUACUUGCGAUGUGUGGUGCACGACACGCCGCGGCAAUGGCGCAAGUGGCUCACUGCGGCAGAAUUCUGGUACAACUCCGCUCAUCAUUCCUCGCUCAAUUGUUCGCUGUUCAAGGCGCUGUACGGCAAGGAACCGAACCUGGGCGGUCUACCACACCUGAGCUCCACUCUGCACAAUCAAGCGGCGUCACCGGAGCUGGACUGGACAGCACACACCGAGAUGCUGCGCGCCCAGCUCACGCGCGCCCAAGCUCGCUUCAAGAAGCAAGCCGAUCGUCACCGCGCGGAGCGCGCCUUCGACGUCGGCGAGAACGUGCUCCUCAAACUGCAGCCGUACGCGCAGUCGACCGUCGCCAACCGCCCGUGCCGCAAGCUCUCCUACAAGUUCUUCGGCCCUUUUGAAGUGACAAAGCGGAUUGGAACCCUGGCAUAUCGCCUGCAGUUGCCUCCAGACAGCCGCAUCCAUCCGGUAUUUCACGUCUCCCAGCUCAAACCCUUCACUCCAGAUUACACUCCAGUCUUCGCCGAGCUGCCGCGGGUACCCGACCUCACUGGGGGUGAAACGGAGCCAGUGGCGAUCUUGGAGCGGAGGAUGAUGAAGAAGGGCAAUGCACCGGUUGUGCAACUCCGUGUCCAGUGGGCAAACAUGCCAACUUCAGCCACCACUUGGGAAGAUUACACCGUUCUUCGCCAACGCUAUCCAUCAGCCUGCAUCUGGGAAGGAGCUUCAUCUCAAGGGGAGGACAAUGUCGCGCCUACUGAUGCAUCAGUGGCGGACUGA
rnacentral:rRNA from 1 species